rnacentral:lncRNA from 1 species
UGCACGGUCUGUCACCCUACAGGUGACAUGAGCUGAUGUUGUUAGUUAACAAGUGACCCUUUUAGCAGUGAGUCGAGUUUCUCCAGCCUCCACUUUCACUCUGCUCCUCUCUCAGACACUGAUUAGUGGGUGUGUUUUGUGUGUUCUACACAGAUAAAGCAGGAGAGGAGAUAUGUGAGUGACUGGCUGAUUGGUGAUGUUUGGCCUGUUGUGCCCUGAACGCUCUGCUCACUUUGUGGGGGAACUCUCCCGCUCUUUCCUCCAUCUGCGCCCGCCUGUGGAAGAGCUGAGCGGGUGUAAGAGGAUCACCGGCUCUUUGGCUGUUUGACAUGUCGGGACAAUACCUGCCCAGGCAGCGGGAUAAGUGCAGGUGUGGACUGGGCACGGACAUGCCUGGGACAGCGAGAACCGUGACAUGAUGUGGCCCUGCAAGACCUGACAGUUGAUGGAGGAAAGAUGCAGCCUGACCGCAUUCCCAUUGUGCUAAACAGCAACUUCCGCUGUGGUUUAUGUUCCAGUCGAAGCCUCAGAAGAAGCAAAAGAGGCGAGGGAGGAUUGAAGUGGCCCUCGAGCUCGGUGCGGAUCCCAGCUUCUCUCUCUCCCACACGGAGCCCCAGUCCCAGCCCUGGUCCAUCUGCACUGGCAGGCACCUCA